UGAGGAAUAUUGGUCAAUGGGCGCAAGCCUGAACCAGCCAUCCCGCGUGAAGGAAGAAGGCGCUAUGCGUUGUAAACUUCUUUUCCAGGGGGAGAAUUUUUCCGUCGUGACGGGAAUUGACGGUACUCUGGGAAUAAGCAUCGGCUAACUCCGUGCCAGCAGCCGCGGUAGUACGGAGGAUGCGAGCGUUAUCCGGAUUUAUUGGGUUUAAAGGGUGCGUAGGCGGAUUGAUAAGUCAGUGGUGAAAGGCUGCAGCUUAACUGUAGACUUGCCGUUGAUACUGUCAGUCUUGAGUAUGGUCAAGGCAGGCGGAAUGUGUAAUGUAGCGGUGAAAUGCCUAGAUAUUACACAGAACACCGAUUGCGAAGGCAGCUCGCUGGGCCAUCACUGACGCUCAUGCACGAAAGCGUGGGGAUCGAACA
rnacentral:rRNA from 1 species